rnacentral:rRNA from 1 species
UUCCGGUUGAUCCCGCCGGACCUGACUGCUAUCGGAUUGAUACUAAGCCAUGCGAGUCAUUGUAGCAAUACAAGGCAGACGGCUCAGUAACGCGUAGUCAACCUAACCUAUGGAUGGGAAUAACCUCGGGAAACUGAGAAUAAUGCCCGAUAGAACACUAUACCUGGAAUGGUUUGUGUUCCAAAUGAUUUAUCGCCGUAGGAUGGGACUGCGGCCUAUCAGUUUGUUGGUGGGGUAAUGGCCCACCAAGACUAUUACAGGUACGGGCUCUGAGAGGAGUAGCCCGGAGAUGGGUACUGAGACACGGACCCAGGCCCUAUGGGGCGCAGCAGGCGAGAAAACUUUGCAAUGUGCGCAAGCACGACAAGGUUAAUCCGAGUGUUUCCUGCUAAAGGAAUCUUUUGUUAGUUGUAAAACCACUGAUGAAUAAGGGGUGGGCAAGUUCUGGUGUCAGCCGCCGCGGUAAAACCAGCACCUCAAGUGGUCAGGAUGAUUAUUGGGCCUAAAGCAUCCGUAGCCUGUUCCGAAAGUUUCCGGUUAAAUCCAUUAACUCAACUAAUGGGCUGCCGAAAAUACUGCAGAACUAGGGAGUGGGAGAGGUAGACGGUACUCGGUAGGAAGGGGUAAAAUCCUUUGAUCUAUUGAUGACCACCUGUGGCGAAGGCGGUCUACCAGAACACGUUCGACGGUGAGGGAUGAAAGCUGGGGGAGCAAACCGGAUUAGAUACCCGGGUAGUCCCAGCUGUAAACGAUGCAAACUCGGUGCUGCCCUGGCUUGUGGCCAGUGCAGUGCCGCAGGGAAGCCGUUAAGUUUGCCGCCUGGGAAGUACGUACGCAAGUAUGAAACUUAAAGGAAUUGGCGGGGGACCCCCACAAAGGGGUGGAAGCCUGCGGUUCAAUUGGAGUCAACGGCGGG